rnacentral:rRNA from 1 species
CAUAAUCAUUAGUUUCUUAAUUGGGAACUCGUAUGAAUGGUUAAACAAAAGAAACACUGUCUCUAAAUUAUAAAUUGAAUUUAACCUUUAAGUGAAAAGGCUUAAAUUUUUUAGAGGGACGAUAAGACCCUAUAAAGCUUUAUAAAUAAGUUAUUGGUCUUUUGAACUUAAAAAUAAAAAAGACUUAUAGACAUUUAUUAUGUUGGGGCGACACAGAUAAAAAAUUUAGGUAACUAACAGAUAAAAAAACACUUAUAUUUGAAAAUAAUGGUCCUUAUUAAAGAUUAAAAGAAAAAGUUACUUUAGGGAUAACAGCGUUAUUCUUUUUGAGAGUCCUUAUCGAAAAAAGAGUUUGUGACCUCGAUGUUGAAUCAUAAAAUCUUUCCAGUGCAGCAGCUGAAAAAG